AGAAAUGGGGAGCCCUCUCCCAAGGACA
rnacentral:tRNA from 1 species